rnacentral:lncRNA from 1 species
GGUUACUUCUUGUUGUAUAAAUACACUUCGCUGACGACCAAGCCAUUCUAGGUGAAGACGAGAGUGAUAUAGACUAUAUGCUCACAAAACUGGAAGACGAGUACACUAAGUGGGGCCUUACAAUUAAUAUACAAAAAACCGAGUAGGUACUUAGUUGUAGGAGAAACACCAGGGAGUCAAUUCUCGAGAACGAUCGUUCGCUGAACGUAUACGUUCGUGACGUAAUGAGCGAACGUUUCUAAAAAAUGCAAUUCUGGAGGAAUGAAUCUUGAACGAUUCGUUCGAAAUCAUCGCUCAAAGUGAUCGUUCGACAACGAGUGGUCUUCAUCAUACGUUCGAUAAUAGUAACGGCGUUCUUCUUAACCUCAACUCUGUUUUUUGUUGUAAAUAAGAUUUUGGGCAAAUGAAUGUGGAAGAUUUGAUAUUAGAAAAUAUGAUGAGUGUUGUGAGGGAAACUGAAAUUUUAGUGGAAGACGGCCGCGAAAGACAUUUUUAUGAUAGAUUUAGGUUAGAUUCCUGAUAUAUGUAGUAAUUAUAAGAUAAUGAAUGUAAAUACACGUUAUCCAGGCGCUACACAUGAUGAACUUAUUUGGAAUCACUACAACUACCAAAAUGUGCCACGAAAUCUUUUUUGAAGAUCAAGGUCGUUUUACCUAUUAGGUCAGAAUUUAUUUAUAAUAUACCACAAGGUAUGGCCUGAGAAUUGACCCUGAAUUAGUAGAAUAAGAUUUAAUUAGUACUGUUAUAUUAUUAUGAAUUAUUUUCACAAUUCAAGAAAUAAAUUGAAAAUUUACUGAC